rnacentral:tRNA from 1 species
GGAGCUUUGGCUGAGUGGUCGAAGGCACCCGCUUGGAAGGUGGGCGAACCUGUAAAAGGGUUCCGUGGGUUCGGAUCCCACAGGCUCCGC